rnacentral:rRNA from 1 species
GUAGUUAGCCGGAGCUUCCUCCUUGGCUACCAUCUUCUUCUUUUCACCAAGGACAGAGGUUUACAAUCCGAAGACCUUCUUCCCUCACGCGGCGUUGCUGGGUCAGGCUUGCGCCCAUUGCCCAAUAUUCCCCACUGCUGCCUCCCGUAGGAGUCUGGACCGUAUCUCAGUUCCAAUGUGGCCGAUCACCCUCUCAGGUCGGCUACCCAUCGCUGACUUGGUGGGCCGUUACCUCACCAACUAUCUAAUGGGACGCGAGCCCCUCCUUCAUCGAAUUGCUCCUUUUACCUCUCUGCCAUGCGACAGUGUGGUCUUAUGCGGUAUUAAUCUCCCUUUCGGGAGGCUAUUCCCCUCUAUGAGGCAGGUUGCCCACGUGUUACUCACCCGUCCGCCGCUAGAAAAGCUCCGAAGAACUUUUCUCGCUCGACUUGCAUGUGUUAAGCACGCCGCCAGCGUUCAUCCUGAGCCAUGAUCAAACUCUGA